rnacentral:rRNA from 1 species
CGGAUCGGAGUCUGCAACCCGACUCCGUGAAGCUGGAUUCGCUGGUAAUCGCGCAUCAGCCAUGGCGCGGUGAAUACGUUCCCGGGCCUUGUACACACCGCCCGUCAAGCCAUGGAAGCCGGGGGUGCCUGAAGUGCGCUGCCGCAAGGAGCGCCCUAGGGUAAAACCGGUGACUGGGGCUAAGUCGUAACAAGGUAAC